UAGGGGAAUCUUCCACAAUGGACGCAAGUCUGAUGGAGCAACGCCGCGUGAGUGAAGAAGGUUUUCGGACCGUAAAGCUCUGUUGUUGGUGAAGAAGGAUAGAGGUAGUAACUGGCCUUUAUUUGACGGUAAUCAACCAGAAAGUCACGGCUAACUACGUGCCAGCAGCCGCGGUAAUACGUAGGUGGCAAGCGUUGUCCGGAUUUAUUGGGCGUAAAGCGAGCGCAGGCGGAAGAAUAAGUCUGAUGUGAAAGCCCUCGGCUUAACCGAGGAAUUGCAUCGGAAACUGUUUUCUUGAGUGCAGAAGAGGAGAGUAGAACUCCAUGUGUAGCGGUGGAAUGCGUAGAUAUAUGGAAGAAUACCAGUGGCGAAGGCGGCUCUCUGGUCUGCAACUGACGCUGAGGCUCGAAAGCAUGGGUAGCGAACAGGAUUAGAUACCCUUGG
rnacentral:rRNA from 1 species